rnacentral:rRNA from 1 species
AAUCAACGCUGGCGGCGUGCCUCAGACAUGCAAGUCGAACGCGAAAGUUUCCUUCGGGAAGCGAGUAGAGUGGCGUCCGGGUGAGUAACACGUAGGUAAUCUACCUUUGGGUGGGGAAUAACAACCGGAAACGGUUGCUAAUACCGCAUAAUGCAGCGGCACCACAUGGUGACAGUUGUUAAAGCGGGGGAUCGCAAGACCUCGCGCCUAAAGAGGAGCCUGCGGCGGAUUAGCUAGNGGUAAGGUAACGGCUUACCAAGGCAACGAUCCGUAGCCGGCCUGAGAGGGCGGUCGGCCACACUGACACUGAAAUACGGGUCAGACUCCUACGGGAGGCAGCAGUCGGGAAUUUUGGGC